rnacentral:misc_RNA from 1 species
UUUCUACCCUCUAUUUUAUAUCUUGAAUUAUGGCCAUUAAAAUUAUGGCUGGAAGUCCUAUAAAUACUACCCUUUCAUUCUUCAAAAGAAAGGAGUAGAAAAUUGGGUGAAAAGUGAAAAAUAAAGAAUAUCAAAUCACUUGCUGUCUCCAAAAUGACAUAGUUCUCUCUCAUUGCUGCCUGCCUGUCCUUCUUACCCAACGCCACUCUCACCUUGAAUAUUAUCUGCACAACAACGAUCCCAUCCAAGUUCAACUCCAUAAUCAAUCAUUCUCGUCUCCAUAUACCAUUUUUUUUUACUUUUUCCCUCAUCACCGACAACGCCUUGUUCCUUGGUCUAGCACCACAUUCGGCAAGUUCUUUUGAAGAGCCAUUUAUGCAACUCCUUUUCCCUCACCACUUUCAUGCAACUCCUUUUCCCUCACCACUUUCCUCUCCUUAUCAUCCAGCAAUAACACGAGAUGUCUGUAACAAGGAGACAUCUCGAGUUCAUUCUCAUUCUUUUGGCAAUACCAGUAUGUAGUUCAUCCCAACUCCUAUUAUUGACUCCUUUGAUAGUAUAGGUAAUUAUGGAUUCUGUGUUUUCAUUUUGAACAGUAUUAAAGGUCGGAUAUCCUUCAGUAAUACUUUUUUUUUAUUGAUUUAAAAAAUGUAUUUUGAUGUUUGUGGGACAUUGCCGUUGCCUUAGAAAUGCAGUUUCAUUCAAGUUAUAUAUCUCGUUCGAGAGACAUAUGUGUCCACCUUUGAGUUCUUAGUGAUUGCUGGUCUAAAAUUUGGAGUACAAUCUUUAAUUUGUCGGCUUUACAUGGGAUUUAAAUUGAAUUGAGCUGGUUGUGUCUUUAUGGGAAUGCUUGCAAUACAUAUAUGUUCAAAUAAUGGCAUUAGAUUCGCUCCAACAGUGUUAAUGUUACAAUGUUAUCAUUAUCAUCAUUCAUAGUUUUUUAGUAGACCGACAAAGGGUUGUCACUUGUCUCAAAUGCACAAUCUGGAUCAUAGUUACCAGAUUCGUUCACAUUCUCUAGGUUCCGCGUUCCGGAUCGCAAGUCCCAGAUGGCGAGACAACUGCGUCUUAAAAAGCUAGGAGACGUUCUAAAUGCCAAAUUCUAGCGAACCCAUUCGAUUCAGUCAACACUCUGUCAUUACGCUGUCAUUGUGAAUAUAAAAUCAAAAAUCAAAGAAGGAAAAACAGAUGUAAGAAGAAAAAAAGACAAUAAAUUUAAAGAAUUACAAUUCAAAAUUUCAAAUGAUUGAUUUUCUCUGUUUUCUGCCGUGAGUUUCAAUUUCUAUGCUGCCAAAUCCUUUCUGCCAUUGAUGGGAGAGCUAACAAUGAAAUGACAGAGAUAGAAUCAUAAGUUCAUAACCAACAGAAUCAUCAUAAAGUGACAAUCUAAACAAAUUACCUUUUAAAAUGAGAAAGGACACGAAAAACAGAAGAAAUUUCUAGAUAGACCAAGCAACAAAAAAACAAUUUUGAAAUAUUAGAAACUUGAAAGUUGGAUUGCUAAUAAUUGAAAUGAAGAAAGCAGAAGCUUCUAGCAAUCUAGUUUUGACAGAGAUGGAUACACACUUUCUCAGAUUCUCCAGCAAUCUUUAGAUGAGAUGGGGAUAUGAGAUGGAAAGCAAAGAAAGAAGAAGAGAGUUGAGGAAGAUAAGGAUGA